rnacentral:rRNA from 1 species
GAUGAACGCUGGCGGCGUGCCUAAUACAUGCAAGUCGAGCGAACAGACGAGGAGCUUGCUCCUCUGACGUUAGCGGCGGACGGGUGAGUAACACGUGUAUAACCUACCUAUAAUACUGGGAUAACUUCGGGAAACCGGAUCUAAUACCGGAUAAUAUAUUGAACCGCAUGGUUCAAUAGUGAAAUACGGCUUUGCUGUCACUUAUAGAUGGAUCCGCGCCGCAUUAGCUAGUUGGUAAGGUAACGGCUUACCAAGGCAACGAUGCGUAGCCGACCUGAGGGGGUGAUCGGCCACACUGGAACUGAGACACGGUCCAGACUCCUACGGGAGGCAGCAGUAGGGAAUCUUCCGCAAUGGGCGAAAGCUUGACGGAGCAACGCCGCGUGAGUGAUGAAGGUCUUCGGAUCGUAAAACUCUGUUAUUAGGGAAGAACAAAUGUGUAAGUAACUAUGCACGUCUUGACGGUACCUAAUAAGAAAGCCACGGCUAACUACGUG